GGUUAAGCGACUAAGCGUACACGGUGGAUGCCCUGGCAGUCAGAGGCGAUGAAGGACGUGCUAAUCUGCGAUAAGCGUCGGUAAGGUGAUAUGAACCGUUAUAACCGGCGAUUUCCGAAUGGGGAAACCCAGUGUGAUUCGUCACACUAUCAUUAACUGAAUCCAUAGGUUAAUGAGGCGAACCGGGGGAACUGAAACAUCUAAGUACCCCGAGGAAAAGAAAUCAACCGAGAUUCCCCCAGUAGCGGCGAGCGAACGGGGAGCAGCCCAGAGCCUGAAUCAGUGUGUGUGUUAGUGGAAGCGUCUGGAAAGGCGCGCGAUACAGGGUGACAGCCCCGUACACAAAAAUGCACAUACUGUGAGCUCGAUGAGUAGGGCGGGACACGUGGUAUCCUGUCUGAAUAUGGGGGGACCAUCCUCCAAGGCUAAAUACUCCUGACUGACCGAUAGUGAACCAGUACCGUGAGGGAAAGGCGAAAAGAACCCCGGCGAGGGGAGUGAAAAAGAACCUGAAACCGUGUACGUACAAGCAGUGGGAGCACAGAGCAAUCUGUGUGACUGCGUACCUUUUGUAUAAUGGGUCAGCGACUUAUAUUCUGUAGCAAGGUUAACCGAAUAGGGGAGCCGAAGGGAAACCGAGUCUUAACUGGGCGUUAAGUUGCAGGGUAUAGACCCGAAACCCGGUGAUCUAGCCAUGGGCAGGUUGAAGGUUGGGUAACACUAACUGGAGGACCGAACCGACUAAUGUUGAAAAAUUAGCGGAUGACUUGUGGCUGGGGGUGAAAGGCCAAUCAAACCGGGAGAUAGCUGGUUCUCCCCGAAAGCUAUUUAGGUAGCGCCUCGUGAAUUCAUCUCCGGGGGUAGAGCACUGUUUCGGCAAGGGGGUCAUCCCGACUUACCAACCCGAUGCAAACUGCGAAUACCGGAGAAUGUUAUCACGGGAGACACACGGCGGGUGCUAACGUCCGUCGUGAAGAGGGAAACAACCCAGACCGCCAGCUAAGGUCCCAAAGUCAUGGUUAAGUGGGAAACGAUGUGGGAAGGCCCAGACAGCCAGGAUGUUGGCUUAGAAGCAGCCAUCAUUUAAAGAAAGCGUAAUAGCUCACUGGUCGAGUCGGCCUGCGCGGAAGAUGUAACGGGGCUAAACCAUGCACCGAAGCUGCGGCAGCGACGCUUAUGCGUUGUUGGGUAGGGGAGCGUUCUGUAAGCCUGUGAAGGUGUACUGUGAGGUAUGCUGGAGGUAUCAGAAGUGCGAAUGCUGACAUAAGUAACGAUAAAGCGGGUGAAAAGCCCGCUCGCCGGAAGACCAAGGGUUCCUGUCCAACGUUAAUCGGGGCAGGGUGAGUCGACCCCUAAGGCGAGGCCGAAAGGCGUAGUCGAUGGGAAACAGGUUAAUAUUCCUGUACUUGGUGUUACUGCGAAGGGGGGACGGAGAAGGCUAUGUUGGCCGGGCGACGGUUGUCCCGGUUUAAGCGUGUAGGCUGGUUUUCCAGGCAAAUCCGGAAAAUCAAGGCUGAGGCGUGAUGACGAGGCACUACGGUGCUGAAGCAACAAAUGCCCUGCUUCCAGGAAAAGCCUCUAAGCAUCAGGUAACAUCAAAUCGUACCCCAAACCGACACAGGUGGUCAGGUAGAGAAUACCAAGGCGCUUGAGAGAACUCGGGUGAAGGAACUAGGCAAAAUGGUGCCGUAACUUCGGGAGAAGGCACGCUGAUAUGUAGGUGAAGUCCCUCGCGGAUGGAGCUGAAAUCAGUCGAAGAUACCAGCUGGCUGCAACUGUUUAUUAAAAACACAGCACUGUGCAAACACGAAAGUGGACGUAUACGGUGUGACGCCUGCCCGGUGCCGGAAGGUUAAUUGAUGGGGUUAGCGCAAGCGAAGCUCUUGAUCGAAGCCCCGGUAAACGGCGGCCGUAACUAUAACGGUCCUAAGGUAGCGAAAUUCCUUGUCGGGUAAGUUCCGACCUGCACGAAUGGCGUAAUGAUGGCCAGGCUGUCUCCACCCGAGACUCAGUGAAAUUGAACUCGCUGUGAAGAUGCAGUGUACCCGCGGCAAGACGGAAAGACCCCGUGAACCUUUACUAUAGCUUGACACUGAACAUUGAGCCUUGAUGUGUAGGAUAGGUGGGAGGCUUUGAAGUGUGGACGCCAGUCUGCAUGGAGCCGACCUUGAAAUACCACCCUUUAAUGUUUGAUGUUCUAACGUUGACCCGUAAUCCGGGUUGCGGACAGUGUCUGGUGGGUAGUUUGACUGGGGCGGUCUCCUCCUAAAGAGUAACGGAGGAGCACGAAGGUUGGCUAAUCCUGGUCGGACAUCAGGAGGUUAGUGCAAUGGCAUAAGCCAGCUUGACUGCGAGCGUGACGGCGCGAGCAGGUGCGAAAGCAGGUCAUAGUGAUCCGGUGGUUCUGAAUGGAAGGGCCAUCGCUCAACGGAUAAAAGGUACUCCGGGGAUAACAGGCUGAUACCGCCCAAGAGUUCAUAUCGACGGCGGUGUUUGGCACCUCGAUGUCGGCUCAUCACAUCCUGGGGCUGAAGUAGGUCCCAAGGGUAUGGCUGUUCGCCAUUUAAAGUGGUACGCGAGCUGGGUUUAGAACGUCGUGAGACAGUUCGGUCCCUAUCUGCCGUGGGCGCUGGAGAACUGAGGGGGGCUGCUCCUAGUACGAGAGGACCGGAGUGGACGCAUCACUGGUGUUCGGGUUGUCAUGCCAAUGGCACUGCCCGGUAGCUAAAUGCGGAAGAGAUAAGUGCUGAAAGCAUCUAAGCACGAAACUUGCCCCGAGAUGAGUUCUCCCUGACUCCUUGAGAGUCCUGAAGGAACGUUGAAGACGACGACGUUGAUAGGCCGGAUGUGUAAGCGCAGCGAUGCGUUGAGCUAACCGGUACUAAUGAACCGUGAGGCUUAACCUU
rnacentral:rRNA from 1 species